rnacentral:tRNA from 1 species
GGUGGCGUAGCUCAGUUGGCAGAGCAAUCGGCUCAUAUCCGAUGUGUCAGGAGUUCAAACCUCUUCGCCACUA